rnacentral:rRNA from 1 species
AUGAAAUACUUAAGGGAACUCAAUGAUUGCAAGCCUAAACAGGAGGGCGGGACAGCAACUGUCCGCCAGCCACUCAGUCGCACUCGUUGGAUUCCCCCAACGCCGGAAGUUGCAAAAUUGAGAGUUGAUGGAGCUGUAUCGAGAGACCAAGGUGAAGGGUCGGUUAGUUCAAUCUGCAGAAAUUCAGAAGGCAAUUUCCUGGGAGCUUCAGUUAUAAAGUUAAGAGGAAUUUCGGAUCCAGCAACUUUAGAGGCUCUAGCCUGCCGCAAAGCACUGGUAAUAGCAGUGGAUCUCCAGCUAACUCAUAUUGUUGUUGCUUCAAAUUGCCAAGAGGUAGUUUGGGAUAUCACAAACCACACUGGUGGGGAGUAUGCAAGCAUAGUUAAGGAAAUAUUAGAGUCAACUAGAGAUUUCCACCACUACUCCUUUGUUUUUGAGGGGCGGGAAACUAAUAUCGAGGCACACAACCUCGCUAAGCACGCUUUUGGUCUGGGGUACAGGGGCCAUGUGUGGCUUUUAAAACAUUAUUGGUCAAUAAAACCAAGUGUGUUUAAAUUCAAAAAAAAUGUGUGCUAUGUUGAAUGCUGA